UACGUAGGGUGCAAGCGUUGUCCGGAAUUAUUGGGCGUAAAGAGCUCGUAGGCGGUUCGUCACGUCGGCUGUGAAAUCCCGAGGCUCAACCUCGGGUCUGCAGUCGAUACGGGCGGACUUGAGUACUGCAGGGGAGACUGGAAUUCCUGGUGUAGCGGUGAAAUGCGCAGAUAUCAGGAGGAACACCGGUGGCGAAGGCGGGUCUCUGGGCAGUAACUGACGCUGAGGAGCGAAAGCGUGGGGAG
rnacentral:rRNA from 1 species